AUUGAACGCUGGCGGCAUGCUUUACACAUGCAAGUCGAACGGUAACAGGCCGCAAGGUGCUGACGAGUGGCGAACGGGUGAGUAAUGCAUCGGAACGUGCCCAGUCGUGGGGGAUAACUACUCGAAAGAGUAGCUAAUACCGCAUACGAUCUAUGGAUGAAAGCGGGGGACCGUAAGGCCUCGCGCGAUUGGAGCGGCCGAUGUCAGAUUAGGUAGUUGGUGGGGUAAAGGCUCACCAAGCCAACGAUCUGUAGCUGGUCUGAGAGGACGACCAGCCACACGGGGACUGAGACACGGCCCAGACUCCGACGGGAGGCAGCAGUGGGGAAUUUUGGACAAUGGGCGCAAGCCUGAUCCAGCAAUGCCGCGUGCAGGAAGAAGGCCUUCGGGUUGUAAACUGCUUUUGUACGGAACGAAACGGCUCUGGUUAAUACCCGGGGCUAAUGACGGUACCGUAAGAAUAAGCACCGGCUAACUACGU
rnacentral:rRNA from 1 species